rnacentral:rRNA from 1 species
UGGGGAAUAUUGCACAAUGGGGGAAACCCUGAUGCAGCGACGCCGCGUGAACGAAGAAGGUAUUCGUAUCGUAAAGUUCUGUCCUAUGGGAAGAUAAUGACAGUACCAUAGAAGAAAGCUCCGGCUAAAUACGUGCCAGCAGCCGCGGUAAUACGUAUGGAGCGAGCGUUGUCCGGAAUUAUAGGGCGUAAAGGGUACGCAGGCGGUUUAAUAAGUCGAAUGUUAAAGAUCGGGGCUCAACCCCGUAAAGCAUUGGAAACUGAUAAACUUGAGUAGUGGAGAGGAAAGUGGAAUUCCUAGUGUAGUGGUGAAAUACGUAGAUAUUAGGAGGAAUACCAGUAGCGAAGGCGACUUUCUGGACACAAACUGACGCUGAGGUACGAAAGCGUGGGGAGCAAACAGG